GACAGAGGGUGCAAACGUUGUUCGGAAUUACUGGGUGUAAAGCGCGUGUAGGCGGCGAUGCAAGUCGGAUGUGAAAGCUUAUGGCUUAACCAUGGAAGUGCACCCGAAACUGCGUCGCUAGAGUCUCGGAGAGGAAGGUGGAAUGCUUGGUGUAGAGGUGAAAUUCGUAGAUAUCAAGCGGAACACCGGUGGCGAAGACGGCCUUCUGGACGAGUACUGACGCUAAGACGCGAAAGCGUGGAUAGCAAACAGG
rnacentral:rRNA from 1 species